AUUGAACGCUGGCGGCAGGCCUAACACAUGCAAGUCGAACGAGUGGCGGACGGGUGAGUAAUGUCUGGGAAACUGCCUGAUGGAGGGGGAUAACUACUGGAAACGGUAGCUAAUACCGCAUACCAUCGGAUGUGCCCAGAUGGGAUUAGCUAGUAGGUUGGGUAAAGGCUCGCCUAGGCGACGAUACCUAGCUGGUCUGAGAGGAUGACCAGCCACACUGAAACUGAGCGACGGUCCAGACUCCUACGGGAUGCAGGAGUGGGGAAUAUUGCACAAUGGGCGCAAUGCUGAUGCAGCCAUGCCGCGUAUAUGAAGAAGGCCGUGGGGUUGUAAAGGACUUUCAGCGGGGAAGCGUUACCCGCAGAAGAAGCACCGGCUAACUCCGUGCCAGCAGCCGCGGUAAUUC
rnacentral:rRNA from 1 species